GACGAACGCUGGCGGCAUGCCUAACACAUGCAAGUCGGACGGUGUGUCGGAAACGGCACAUAGUGGCGAACGGGUGAGUAACGCGGUGGUGACCUGCCCUUUAGCGUGGGAUAACAGUCCGAAAGGAUUGCUAAUACCGCAUGAGCUGGUGUGAAUUAGAGGAGCACAAGGAAAGCCGAAAGGCGCUGAAGGAGGGGCCUGCGACCCAUAGGCUAGUUGGUAGGGUAACGGCCUACCAAGGCGAUGACGGGUAGGGGACCUGAGAGGGUGGCCCCCCACAAUGGAACUGAAACACGGUCCAUACACCUACGGGUGGCAGCAGUAGGGGAUAUUGGUAAUGUGCGAAAGCGCGAACCAGCAACGCCGCGUGUGCGAAGAAGGCCUUCGGGUUGUAAAACACUUUUUACCGGGAAGAGGAAGGACGGUACCGGUAGAAUAAGCCUCGGCUAACUACGUGCCAGCAGCCGCCGUAAAAC
rnacentral:rRNA from 1 species